rnacentral:lncRNA from 1 species
AAGCUCCUGCUAUACUUUUAUGUUUUGGACCUCUAACUACAUAACACAACUGUGAACUAUAUGUUUUCAUUAAUGAAAACGGGGGCUGAGCCCUUAUUACUGUAAAAAAGUAAAUUCCUUUCAGGUAAUCAACAGUCUCCCAGUCCUCUUCAGAACAACAUUGAAUGGAUUUUCUUUUGCAAGGAAAUUACCCCUGUUAAAAACAAAGGAGUGCUGCAAUUUAAGCUGUGUUGCUCCUAAUCCCUAAUAAUCCCUACCAAUUUAAGCUGUCGUGAUUCACGAAUCAUGAUUGAUAUGCCUUCCUAACUUGAUCUUGAACCAAAAUAGAUUAGAAAUCCUAAAACCAGUGCCGCGAUGCAUGAAGAAAUCUUACUGCUCCGCGAGGCAGAGGAGGACUUGGUCGUGGAGGUACUCGCCGCAAUAGAAACCCUCGCACUGGCCGGCGCUGAGCCGCAGGGCUUGGCGCACCAUGAUGCCGAGGCUGACCCGCGGGCGGAAGGGCGGCACGCGCGGGUCUCGCAUGUCGAUGCGGCGCCAGAGCACGGGCUCCUCCCGCGCGGCCCGGCGCCAGGACCGGC